GACGAACGCUAGCGGCGUGCUUAACACAUGCAAGUCGAGCGGUAAGGCCCUUCGGGGUACACGAGCGGCGAACGGGUGAGUAACACGUGGGUAAUCUGCCCUGCACUCUGGGAUAAGCCUUGGAAACUAGGUCUAAUACCGGAUAUUAGCAGCCUGUGCAUGGUCCGCUGUUGGAAAGCUUUACUGGUGCAAGAUGAGCCCGCGGCCUAUCAGCUUGUUGGUGGGGUAAUGGCCUACCAAGGCGACGACGGGUAGCCGACCUGAGAGGGUGACCGGCCACACUGGGACUGAGACACGGCCCAGACUCCUACGGGAGGCAGCAGUGGGGAAUAUUGCACAAUGGGCGAAAGCCUGAUGCAGCGACGCCGCGUGAGGGAUGACGGCCUUCGGGUUGUAAACCUCUUUUAGCAGGGACGAAGCGCAAGUGACGGUACCUGUAGAAGAAGCACCGGCUAACUACGUGC
rnacentral:rRNA from 1 species